rnacentral:rRNA from 1 species
CUACGGAGGGUGCAAGCGUUAUUCGGAAUCACUGGGCGUAAAGGACGCGUAGGCGGGUUGGCAAGUCAGAUGUGAAAUCCUACAGCUUAACUGUAGAACUGCAUUUGAAACUGCUAACCUAGAGUAUGGGAGGGGGAGAUGGAAUUAGUGGUGUAGGGGUAAAAUCCGUAGAUAUCACUAGGAAUACCGAAAGCGAAGGCGAUCUCCUGGAACAUAACUGACGCUAAGGCGUGAAAGCGUGGGGAGCAAACAGGAUUAGAAACCCUAGUAGUCC